rnacentral:misc_RNA from 1 species
AACAUCGCGCACCUGCGGGAACCUGCGGAGGGAUCAUUAAUGAUUGGUGGCUGUUGCUGACUAGUGUUUCUAGUAUGUGCACGCCACACCUUCAAUCCCACUUACACCUGUGCACCUUCUGUAAUAGAUCUAUGUGAUACGGAGAUAUGAAAGUUUGCGCUCUCGUACUCUGUUGAAGCAGUCUACUACGUUUUUUUACACACACACAAUAGUCAUUGAAUGUAUUUUUUAUUCUUAUGA